rnacentral:rRNA from 1 species
AACGAACGCUGGCGGCAUGCCUAACACAUGCAAGUCGAACGAGACCUUCGGGUCUAGUGGCGCACGGGUGCGUAACGCGUGGGAACCUGCCCUUAGGUCCGGAAUAACUCCCCGAAAGGGGUGCUAAUACCGGAUAAUGUCUUCGGACCAAAGAUUUAUCGCCUUUGGAUGGGCCCGCGUUGGAUUAGCUAGUUGGUAGGGUAAAAGCCUACCAAGGCGACGAUCCAUAGCUGGUCUGAGAGGAUGAUCAGCCACACUGGGACUGAGACACGGCCCAGACUCCUACGGGAGGCAGCAGUGGGGAAUAUUGGACAAUGGGCGAAAGCCUGAUCCAGCAAUGCCGCGUGAGCGAUGAAGGCCUUAGGGUUGUAAAGCUCUUUUACCCGGGAUGAUAAUGACAGUACCGGGAGAAUAAGCUCCGGCUAACUCCGU